AGAAUCAACGCUGGCGGCGUGCCUAACACAUGCAAGUCGAACGAGAAAGGGUAGCAAUACCUGAGUACAGUGGCGCACGGGUGAGUAACACGUGACUAACCUACCCUUGAGUGGGGAAUAACUGAGGGAAACCUUGGCUAAUACCGCAUAAUACCUACGGGUCAAAGGAGCAAUUCGCUUAAGGAGGGGGUCGCGGCAGAUUAGCUAGUUGGCGGGGUAAUGGCCCACAAGGCAGUGAUCUGUA
rnacentral:rRNA from 1 species